rnacentral:rRNA from 1 species
GACAGAGGCCUCAAGCGUUUAGGCGGAAUCACUGGGCUUAAAGCGUGUGUAGGCGGAUCGUUAAGUGUCUUGUGAAAUCCCACGGCUCACCCGUGGAACUGCUGGGCAUACUGGCGAUCUUGGGCCAACUAGGGGCAACUGGAACAAGCGGUGGAGCGGUGAAAUGCGUAGGAUAUCGCUUGGAACGCCAAAGGUGAAAACAGGUUGCUGGGG